AAAUCUAUAUACUGAAAGUUAUACUAGAAGUGGUUUACUUAAGAUGUUGAAUCUGUGACAGCUUUAAGGGAAACUGGGAUUGGAUACCCCAUUAUUUUUAGUCGUAAAUUUAGUUUAAACUUACCAGAGUACUACGAAUAAAAAGUUUAAAACUCAAAGAGCUUGGCGGUGUUUUAGACCUCUCAGGGGAACCUGUCUCGUAAUCGACAAUCCACGUUAGACCUAACCCUUUGUGGUAAUACAGCCUGUAUACCGUCGUCGCCAGGUAACUUCUUAAAAUAUAGUAGUUAGCUUGAGAAUUAAAUUAAUUAAGACGUCAGAUCAAGGUGCAGCUAAUAAAAGGGUGAGGAUGGGUUACAAUUAUAUAUUUGUAAUUACGGAAAACACUUGAAAUGAAGUGCUUAAAGGAGGACUUGAAAGUAAUUUUAAUUAUAUGAGUAAAAUGAAUAAGGCUCUGAAACGUG
rnacentral:rRNA from 1 species